rnacentral:rRNA from 1 species
CAGUAGCCACGGGAAAACGAAGGGUGCAAGCGUUAAUCGGAAUUACUGGGCGUGAAGCGCACGUAGGCGGAUAUUUAAGUCAGGGGUGAAAUCCCAGAGCUCAACUCUGGAACUGCCUUUGAUACUGGGUAUCUUGAGUAUGGAAGAGGUUAGUGGAAUUGCGAGUGUAGAGGUGAAAUUCGUAGAUAUUCGCAGGAACACCAGUGGCGAAGGCGGCUAACUGGUCCAUAACUGACGCUGAGGUGCGAAAGCGUGGGGAGCAAAUAGGAUUAGAUACCCGGGUAGUCCCUGUCUCUUAUAC